UACGUAGGGUGCGAGCGUUGUCCGGAAUUAUUGGGCGUAAAGAGCUCGUAGGCGGCUUGUCGCGUCGGAUGUGAAUGCCCGGGGCUUAACUCCGGGUCUGCAUUCGAUACGGGCAGGCUAGAGUUCGGUAGGGGAGAUCGGAAUUCCUGGUGUAGCGGUGGAAAUGACGCAGAUAUCAGGAGGAACACCGGUGGCGAAGGCGGAUCUCUGGGCCGAUACUGACGCUGAGGAGCGAAAGCCAGGGUAGCGAACGGG
rnacentral:rRNA from 1 species